rnacentral:rRNA from 1 species
UACGUAGGUCGCAAGCGUUGUCCGGAUUUACUGGGCGUAAAGAGCGCGCAGGCGGCUGGUCAAGUCCGAUGUGAAAUCUCCCGGCUCAACUGGGAAACUGCAUCGGAAACUGAUCGGCUUGAAGGUGGGAGAGGGUAGUGGAAUUCCCGGUGUAGUGGUGAAAUGCGUAGAUAUCGGGAGGAACACCAGUGGCGAAGGCGGCCGCCUGGGCCAGUCCUGACGCUGAGCCGCGAAAGCGUGGGGAGCGAUCCGG